UACGGGGGGGGUAAGCGUUGUUCGGAAUUACUGGGCGUAAAGGGCUCGUAGGCGGCCAACUAAGUCGGACGUGAAAUCCCUCAGCUUAACUGGGGAACUGCGUGUGAUACUGGAUGGCUUGGAUUUGGGAGAGGGAUGCGGAAUUCCAGGUGUAGCGGUGAAAUGCGUAGAUAUCUGGAGGAACACCGGUGGCGAAGGCGGCAUCCUGGACCAAUAUUGACGCUGAGGAGCGAAAGCCAGGGGAGCAAACGGG
rnacentral:rRNA from 1 species